rnacentral:rRNA from 1 species
GAUGAACGCUAGCGACAGGCCUAACACAUGCAAGUCGAGGGGCAGCACAAGGAGCAAUCUGAGGUGGCGACCGGCGCACGGGUGAGUAACACGUAUGCAACCUGCCUGUAAGCGGGGGAUAACCCGUUGAAAGACGGACUAAUACCCUAUAACACAGGGGUCCCGCAUGGGAAUAUUUGUUAAAGGACAACCGGUUGAAGAUGGGCAUGCGUUCCAUUAGCUAGUUGGCGGGGUAACGGCCCACCAAGGCAACGAUGGAUAGGGGAACUGAGAGGUUUAUCCCCCACACUGGUACUGAGACACGGACCAGACUCCUACGGGAGGCAGCAGUGAGGAAUAUUGGUCAAUGGGCGAGAGCCUGAACCAGCCAAGUCGCGUGCAGGAAGAAUGUCCUAUGGAUUGUAAACUGCUUUUUGCAGGGGGAAUAAAGUGAGCCACGUGUGGUUUUUUGUAUGUACUCUGCGAAUAAGGAUCGGCUAACUCCGUGCCAGCAGCCG